CUGGGCCGGCGGGACUUUGACGCUGGCGGCACUUUGCCUUUCUCCCGCCCUCCCCACCCGGCUGAUACCCCGGAGGCUGGGUCCCGGGGGUCCGGCUCCCGACAGAGGGCUGCGCUGGAGGAGCCGGGCACGCCCAGGCCGGGCGGCCGGUGGGCGAGGGAUGCGGGCUGCGCUCCCACGGCGCGCGCCGGACACUUGGGGAGCGGAAACGGAUCAGCGAGAGCGGCUUCUUGCUCGGGGCACCUCCGGUGCCUGGCACUAAGCGGGCGCGCAAUAAAUAUUUGUUGAAUGAAUGAGCAGUUGACUUCUGCCUUCACCCCCUGGAGCUUGAACCCGCGCCGCGAGCGGGAGAAGCCGGACUCAGGGCAGACUGAAUCUCCCGGGGCCACCGCUUAGAGCCUGGAAAGCAGAACUUUUAUCACCGGAGAGCUGGUGCAAGGGAGGUGGGCUCCUCAGAAGUAUCAGACCGUUUGCUAGGGGAUCCUCUGCAGGGAAAUUGUUUAGAAAGCCCUAAUUUGGAAGUCCUGUAUCCCCAAACUCCGGGGACCCCCCAACCUUAAGCUGAAGAAACUUAGACCCUCAUGCCCAGACCUCCCUUUCCCAACCAGCCAGCAGCCCAGAGAGCAUUCCCGUGGAGAAAGGGCCAAGGCGCAUCCCCGUCUUUUCUCCGUCAACGACUGCCUUUUCUUGACGAAGAUCCCAAAGGGGCUGCGCAUUUGAACCGCCUUGGGCUCCAGGUGGCGCCCUCUCUGGAGCUCCCCUCUUGGAAUUCAUUUCUUCCUGGAGAGACUUGGAGAAUGAAGAUCCAGGGGUUUCUCCCUACCUUGUACCGAGAAGUAACAUUGCAAGUAGAGUAAAUGACCAGCUUAAUUACGUUCACCUUCGAAGAAGAUUCCUCUAGAGAGAAAUUAUAUCCUCCUUGCAGCCUGUGAAGGUUUUCAUGCGUUUUAGGAAUAUAAAAGAAAGGAAGACAAACAUGUAGUAAAGAUAGUAAAGACAGGUAGUUGGCCAGGCGUGGUGGCUCAUGCCUGUAAUCUCAGCACUUUGGGAGGCCGAGGCGGGUGGAUCACCUGAGGUCACGAGUUCCAGACCAGCCUGGCCAACAUGGUGAAACCCCUUCUCUACUAAAAUACAAAAGUUAGCCAGACGUGCUGGUGUGCUCAUGUAAUCCCAGCUACCCAGGAGGCUGAGGCAGGAGAAUCGCUGGAACCCGGGAGGCAGAGGCUAUAAGUGAGCCGAGAUCGCGCCACUGCACUCCAGCCUGGGCAACAGGGCAAAACUCCGUCUAAAAAAAAAAAAAAAAAAAAAAGACAGUAAAGAUAGAUAGGCAAACAAGGUAACAAGAUAGUAAAGUUUCAUUGGAGAAUUAGUGCAUUUUAACUUUGGUGGUUUUUUACCAAACGAGGUCUGAAAUUUUUUUUAAGUCCUAUUCACGGUGGGUAACUACUAGAGCUGGCUUUUUUUUUCUCCAUCAACCAAUAGGUAUUUAUUCACAAUGUUUAACAAUAAUUUAAGAAAUUCCUCUGUCACUUUAGACUUGACAUCCAGAAAGAAUUCCACCAUCUUCCCUAAAAUAAUUUAUCUUCCUCCAUUAGUAUAUCAUGAUUCUAAUUUCCCAGGUUAGGUAAUUUCUUCUUCCUUCUUCACACACAUAUUAAAUGCCUACACGUUAAGUGCCAGGCAUCACUCUAAGAAUGAGGGUGCAGCGGUGAAUACAGUAGAAUGUGUCCCUUCACAGAGCUUCUAGUCUAGACGGGGAGAGUAAGACAGUAAAGAAAUGUACACCAAACGAGAGUAAACAUUAGAGAAAAAUCCAAAGCAGGGAGGAUAGGGCGUGUAGGGUGCUGCUGUUUUUAUGGAGUGGUCUGGGAAUGCAGCUCUGCUAAGCUGAGGUUGAGGUGUAGACCUGAAGGAAGUGAAGAUUCCGGGAGAAAGUAUUCUGGAAAAGAGGAACAGCAAAGGCAAAGGACACCAAGCGUGUUUGGCAGGUUCCCAGGUCACCCAGAGAUCCUAGGUAAUGAGAGCUGAGUAACAGGUGAGAGGAAACUUGGUCUAAGAGGCAGAGGAAUGCCAGAUAGAGCAGAACCCUGGCAGGCAUAUGGACUUUAUAUAUUACUACUACAAGCGAGGUUUGGAGGGCUUUGAGCCAACCUGGAACAUAUUGAACUUGCCUGCUGUGGUAUGAAUCCAUUGUAAAGGGGCAAGGGAGGCCCACAUGGAUGGAUGUUGGGGGCUAUUUCAGUCAUUCAGGCAAGACAUGAAGGUAGUUGGGUCCAGGAGGAUAAGGAUGGAGGUGAAAAAGAUGUUGGGUUCUUGACAUACGUGAAAAUAGAGCCUGGCCAGAUGUGGUGGCUCACACCUGUAAUCCCAGCAUUUUGGGAGGCUGAGGUGGGAGGAUUGCUUAAGGUCAGGAGUUCAAAAUCAGCCUGGACAACAUAGUGAGACCCUCCUCUACUAUAUAUAUAUCCUGGGCAUGGUGGCUGUGCCUGUGGCCCUAUCUACUCAGGAGACUGAGGUGGGAGGAUUGCUUGAGCCCAGGAGGUCGAGGCUAGCAGUGAGCUAUGAUUGCAUCACAGCAUGAAAAAGAACCAAGAGGAGGGCCACAUGAACGGCAGGGGGAUCUACUACUGUGAGGCUUCAAUCUUUUUUGGAAAGUUUUCCCCCAGAAAGAGAUAUGCUUGUAUUUUUCUUUUUUUUUUUAAAGAGCCCUACCCGUAUCGUACACCCUUCAGGCCCCACACACCUUGGUUCUUGUCCCUGCAUGUGAGAUACAAGCUGGGUCAAGAAUGACUCUAAAGCCAGCUAGGUCGCACAUGCCUGUAGUCCCAGCUGCUAGGGAGGCUGAGGCAAGAGGAUUGCUUGAGCCCAGGAGUUCCAGGCUGCAGUGAGCUAUGCUGAUCAGGUGUCUGCACUAAGUUCCGCAUCAAUAUAGUGACAUCCUGGGAGCAGGCGACCACCAGGUUGCCUAAGGAGGGGUGAACUGGUCCAGGUCAGAAAUGGAGCGGGUCAAUUAUUUGGAAAGCCCUAAUUUGGAAGUCCUAUAUCCCAAAACUUCGGUACUCCUCCUUAGCUGAAGAAAUUCAGGCCCACAUAUCCAGGGGGAAAUCUACCCCAAGACCUCCCUUUUCCAACCAGCCAGCAGCCCAGAGAGCAUCCCUGUGUAGAAAGCAACUGGAUGCAUCCUUGUCUUUUCUCUGUCACUGACUGCAUUAUUGACAAAGAUCCCGUAGCCGGGACUUCACAUUUGAACUGCCUCAGGCUCCAGGUGGCACCCUCUCUUGAGCUCCCCUUCUGAUCAAUAAUGGGAUGGCACCUGUGAAUUGGCACUGCAUUUCAGCUUGGACAACAUAGCAAGACCCUGUCUCUAAACAAAUAUUAAUUCAAAACAAAAAGAGUGACUCUAAGGUUUGGGGCUUGAAUAGCAAGGGAGUAGAGUUGCCAUUGUCUUGGUCACCAUUUAUAUCUAUCUUGUCUUCACCCUUUCCUGUCCCAGUUGCUCUGUAUCAAAGUUUUCCUUUCAAUAUUUCUUUAGGACCCACUUCUUCACGCCUUCCUCAGCAACUUCUCCAUGUGGCCCCUUAGGAGCUAAAGCGCUCUGCACUGGAUUAUAUGACUUGCCUGUUGUGGACUCAGGGCUUCUCAAAGUUACAUGAAUUCUCCGUGCUUAGGGAAAUUGGAUGACCUCUGUUCUCUGACCAAAGAUAAAAGAAGAUUAUUCUGUGAUCCUAUACGAGUCAGUGGCUAAUGGAACUACCAAAAAAAUGAUAACAAUGCAAAUAAUGUAAUUGGUUCUAAGCAGUGCUUUGCAGGCUCCUAAGGAUGGUUCUAAGUAAGCCAGGAGUAGGUGAUACAUUGUAAUUCUGGGACCCAUGAGCUUAGCAGGACAAAGGAAACCAUGAAUCACCCUAGUCCCAGAAGUACCUUUUCAUAGGCCCCAGGGAUUCCAACAUCAUUAUUCACUCUCCACUCUGCAAGUGACUUAGGUCGUGAGCAUCUCUGAGUCUGCACAGGCUCUGCCAUGUGGCUGUGGGGGUCCGGCUUCUCUGAUGGAUGGGAAGAUAAUGCUCGGGGCUCCAAUGCUAUUAUCUCCUCAUCUCUGUCACAAGGAGAUUUAUACUUAUGAUUUACCCUUUUCAUGAACAUGGGAAAAUUCUUUUUUCUAGUGUUGUUUCUGGAAUGUUCUUUGCUGUGUCUAAAUGAGCUGAUUCCACUGUUGGGAGAGGUGGAUGAUGUGAGCAGUAAGAAGGCAUUAGUUUCUUGAAAACUAGAUCCAUAUUUAGGUGAGAUGAAAUCAAACUACCUGAUUUUAAAAAAAACAAACUAUGUUUAUUUACCGUAUGUCUUGAUUCCUAUAUACAUUGAAAAAUUAUAUUCAUAAAACUGUUUAAAAUAAGAGAUGAUGGGCUGGACGCAGUGGCUCAUGCCUGUAAUCUCAGCACUUUGGGAGGCCAAGGCGGGCAGAUCACUUGGGCCCAGGAGUUCGAGACCAGGCUGGGCAACACGGCAAAACCCUGUUUCUACAAAAAAUGCAAAAAUUACCAGGGUGUGGUGGUGUGUGUCUGUAGUAUCAGCUACUCAGGAAGCUGAGGUAGGAGGAUUCCUUGAGCCCAGGAGGUGGAGGUUACAGUGAGCUGAUGUGGCACCAUUGCAUUCCAGCCUAGGUGACAGGGGGACCCUGUUCCCCCUGCCAAAAAAAAAAAAAAAAAAAAAAAAGAACAAAAAGAGAGAUGAUGAAAACUUAGAAGAAAUGUGGAAAAUGUAUAAUGUAGGCAUAAAUGAAAAUAAUUAGAUUGUCUAUGCCGCAAAAUGAUUGUAGCUAUAGAAAGUCAUAGAUUUACAGGGAAAAUGACCAUAGAAGAACAUGAAUAAAUGACAAAUUUUAUUCAACCUUCUUCAAAACAAAAUAAAGAAAAAUACUUGAUUGCUGAAGUCUCUGGGCUAUGUAGCAAGAGUAGGAAGUUAUUUGCCUAAAUCUGAUCAUUUUUUGUGACAAGAGUGAAGUUUCACUCUUCAGUUCCUUGGGCACACGGACACUAUGACUAUCUUGUUUAGACGACUGUCAUAUUCAGCAGAUUUUUCUUCCUGUUUGUGGUCAGUUAAGAAAACAAGCAUUUAAUCCAGAACUUGUAUUUAAUACCAGAACGAUUUUAUUUUUUCACAGCCACCAACUGUAAAGUAACAAUAAUAACUGCGUAUGAAGUAAUGAGUACUGGCUCCAAAUCACCUUGUUUAAUCCCCAUACAACCUAAUGAGGUAAAUAUAACUCUCCGGUCAUUCCCACCUCACAAAUGUGGCUUAGGAGGUGUCCAGAAAUUACCUACAUAAUUAAUUAGUGGCAAAAUAAAAUCCAGACCCAGACAGCCUGACUCCAGGGUCCAUGCUCUAAAGCAGAGGUCUGCAAGCUUUUGCUAUAAAGGCCCCACUAUGGAUAGUUCCCAGGCUUUGCAGGCCAUAUGGCCUUGUUGCAACCACUCAACUCUGCAGUUGUAGCAGGGAAGCCUCUAUGAGCAAUACAUACAAUGAAUUGAGUGUGGUUGUGUCCCAGUAAAACUUCAUUAGUUGUGUUAGAUCAAGUUUAGACUAAACCUGCCUCCUUACAUAUUUUAAGUUCAGCCUAAAGGUUUCUCUGUACAUAGCGAACUAUAAUCUCAAUGGAAGUGUAAACAGACCAAAACCUAUUCUUGUGCCAAUCACUGAGUUUUGGCCAAUCAGAGGAGGCAAACUGUUAAAACUGUCUUCAAAUAAGGUAAACGCCCAGCUGCUGAGCUGUAACCAAUCCGCCUGUUUCUGUACCCCAUUUCCGUUUUCUGUACCUCAUUUCUGUUUUCUGUACAUCACUUUCCUUCUUCUGUUAUAAAUCGUCUUCCACCACGUGGCUGCACUGGAGUUGCUGAGCCUACCCCGGCUCAGGAGGCUGCCUGAUUCUCAAGUCGUUCUUUGCUCAAUUAAAGUAUGUUAAAUUUAAUUUGGCUAUGGUCUUUCUUUUAACAGUAGAUUUGAAAUUUGAAUUUCAUGUAUUUUUAUGCAUAUGAAAUAUUAUUCUGGCCAGGUGCAGU
rnacentral:lncRNA from 1 species